CUACGGGAUGCAGCAGUGAGGAAUAUUGCACAAUGGGGGGAACCCUGAUGCAGCAACGCCGCGUGGAGGAUGACGCAUUUCGGUGUGUAAACUCCUUUUAUAUGUCAAGAAAAUGACGGUAGCAUAUGAAUAAGCACCGGCUAACUCCGUGCCAGCAGCCGCGGUAAUACGGAGGGUGCAAGCGUUACUCGGAAUCACUGGGCGUAAAGGACGCGUAGGCGGGUUGGAAAGUCAGGUGUGAAAUCCUACAGCUUAACUGUAGAACUGCACUUGAAACUUCUGAUCUAGAGUAUGGGAGGGGGAGAUGGAAUUAGUGGUGUAGGGGUAAAAUCCGUAGAUAUCACUAGGAGUACCUAAAGCGAAGGCGAUCUCCUGGAACAUUACUGACGCUAAGGCGUGAAAGCGUGGGGAGCAAACGGGAUUAGAUACCCUGGUAGUC
rnacentral:rRNA from 1 species